rnacentral:rRNA from 1 species
CCAGCAGCUGCGGUAAUUCCAGCUCCAAUAGCGUAUAUUAAAGUUGUUGCAGUUAAAAAGCUCGUAGUUGAAUUUUGGACUUGAUGGGGUGGUCUAGCUGUAAGGUUAGUACUAUUUUUAUUGAGUCUUUCCUUCUGGGGAACUAUGAUGCACUUUAUUGGGUAGCAUAGGGAACCAGGACUUUUACUGUGAAAAAAUUAGAGUGUUUAAAGCAGGCGUAUGCUUGAAUACAUUAGCAUGGAAUAAUAGAAUAGGACUGUGGUUCUAUUUUGUUGGUUUCUAGGACCAAAGUAAUGAUUAAUAGGGAUAGUUGGGGGCAUUAGUAUUUAAUUGUCAGAGGUGAAAUUCUUGGAUUUAUGAAAGACUAACUUCUGCGAAAGCAUUUGCCAAGGAUGUUUUCAUUAAUCAAGAACGAAAGU